rnacentral:lncRNA from 1 species
UCAAAGAUUCAUCUGCUUCUGCCUCCCAAAUACUAGCAAUAAAAGGUUUGUGCCACCACACAGGACUUUAAUUUUCUUUUCUUUUCUUUCUUUCUUUUUUUUAUUUUAAAUAAAGUGGAAAUUAGAAUAUUGAGACCAGUGAAGGGGUUUGUGUUGGCGCUUUGUUUAACUCAAACAGUAUGCAUUAUAUCCCACUGUCAUCUGGGGUUUUGUGUAUUGCUGCUGAGUUUUUUGUCUUGUUGCUCAAGCAGUUGUGAGUUCUUACUUUGAAGUAUGUGAUUUUAGGUGCACUUUUCCACUUGACGUAAAAUCCGGGAGCAGUCAGUCCUCUCUGUCACUUAGUGUUAGCACUAGACAGUGAGGACACAGAGUACUUCAACUUUAAACAGCUUUUUUAUUAUCUUGUGUUUGAGUGUGAUAUGUGGGCGUGAAGACAUGCAUGCCAUAGCACCCAUGUCGAGGUCAGAGGACAGCCUGUGGAUGUCACUCCACCCUUUCCUCACUUUUUAUUUCUUACUUGAAGUGUGUGUACGUUUUUCCUCUGUGUUCUAGGAAAGGUGCCACAGUUCUUAAUGCAGUAUAACUUAAGCUCAUUGAAAUUACUGUAUUUUUCUUUGUCUUUAUAGUUAUAAGACAAGGUCUUAUCCCAGGCUGGCCUGCAAUACUGUGGAACUAGUGUUAGCCCUAAACUCCCAAUCCUCCUGCUUCAGUCUCCUGACUGCUGGAAUUACAUGUGUACCGCCACUCACCCUCUCUCUGUAUUGCUGUGUAGCCAAGGUGGGCUUUAAAUAAACUUGGUGUUUUUCUACCUCAGUUUACCAAGUGUUGGGUUACUGGGCCCACCAAUAGCAUUUUUUUACCUCUCUCUGUAUUGCUGUGUAGCCAAGGUGGGCUUUAAAUAAACUUGGUGUUUUUCUACCUCAGUUUACCAAGUGUUGGGUUACUGGGCCCACCAAUAGCAUUUUUCUACUAGAAGAAAAAAUCUCUGAGGUGUAGGGUGAGAGAUUUGAGUCCAUGUUGACUUCAUUUAUAUCGUACUCUGUGUUUUCCUUGGGGUAAUUUUGAAUUCUGAGAAAAGUAGCUUUUCCCAACAGUGCAGGUCAUGUUUUAGAUAUAGAACCUUACUCUGUGCCAGGUCGUUUGGGACUAAAAGGCUUUCCUGGUUCAUUGGCUUGUUUGUUUUUAAGACAAGGUCUCACUAUGUAGCUUGAGCUGGUCUGGAGCUCAGAGAUCACCUGCCUGACUCUGCCUCUGCCUCUGCCUCCAUCCACUUUGGGAUGUAGUCCUUACUGUCCUGAAACUCAAUAUGUGGACCAGACUGGCCUCAAAUUUACAGAGACCCGCCUCCUACUGGCUACCGAGUCACUUACUAACUGCAUGUAGCUUGGUGAUGGCGCAGGCCUGUAAUCAAGGCCCCAGGGAGAUAGCCAGGUGGUAAAGGUGCUUCACGCCAAGCGUGAUGACUUGAAUUCCGUCCCUGGAAUGGUGGAAGAAGAGAGCUAACUUCUGUAAGCUGUCCUCUGGCCUCCACAUAAGGUCACUGUGUCACAUAUGUGUAUACAUACACACAAAGUAAAUAAAUAAAUGUAAUGAAAACAUUUUUAAGGGACUAGAGAGAUAGCAGUUAAUGAGUGCUUGCUACUCUUGUAGAGGCCACAACUAACUGCUUGUGACUACAGGUCGAGGGGAUCUAACAACUUCUUUUGGCCUCCCUGGGCACCCACAUCUGUACAUAUAAACAAAAUACUUGAAAAUAUUUUAAUGAAUUCAUAAUUCUGUAAUUCAGUAAAUGUCUACCAUAGACUGGAAAUUUUGGUCACCAAGUGUACUGGCUAGUUUUGUGUCAACUUGACACAGCUGGAGUUAUCACAGAGAAAGGAACUUCAGUUGAGGAAAUGCCUCCAUGAAAUCCAACUGUAAGGCAUUUUCUCAAUUAGUGAUCAAGGGGGAAAGGCCCCUUGUGGGUGGGACCAUCUCUGGGCUGGUAGUCUUGGUUCUAUAAGAGAGCAGGCUGAGCAAGCCAGGGGAAGCAAGCCAGUAAAGAACAUCCCUCCAUGGCCUCUGCAUCAGCUCCUGCUUCCUGACCUGCUUGAGUUCCAGUCUUGACUUUCUUUGGUGAUGAACAGCAGUGUGGAAGUGUAAGCCGAAUAAACCCUUUCCUCCCCAACUUGCUUCUUGGUCAUGAUGUUUGUGCAGGAAUAGAAACCCUGACUAAGACACCAAGGGUUGAAAGACCCAUUAGUUAUAUCUUCAGCAAUGUCAUGUUAAAAAUACACUUUAAAGCUGGGUAUAGUGGCACCCACGAGGCAGAAGCAAUGGAUCUGUGAGUUCAAGACCAACCUGGUCUUCAAUGUGAAUUCCAGGACAGCCAGACCUACAUAGUGAGACUCAAUGAGAUAUAAUUUAAUUACUAAGACAGGUACGGUGGUGCAUACCUACAGUCCUAGCACAUGGAAGCUGCUGAGGGGAGCUCAUGGUCGUCCUUCACUACAGAGAAGCGUCUUUAAAAGAAAAUGUAAAUGCAAUUAUUAACCCACUAGCUACAGUUCUCUAAACAUCACCCUGGUUCCCUAAUUUUUUAGAAUUUAAAAAAUACCCGGGCUUGAUGGCGCACGCCUUUAAUCCCAGCACUAGGGAGGCAGAGGCAGGCAGAUUUCUGAGUUCGAGGCCAGCCUGGUCUACAAAGUGAGUUUCAGGACAGCCAGGGCUACACAGAGAAACCCUGUCUCAAAAAACAAAACAAAAAAAAAUUAAAAAAUAUAUAAUUAUUUUUGAAAUACAGUUAUAGACAUUCACUUAAAUUGUCUAGUAGAAAUAUUUUAGAAGUAAUUAACUGGGUGUAUUGGUGCAUGCUAUGCUGUGUAGGUUUUUGUAAACUUGGGUCAUUUAAGAAGAGAAACCUCAUCUGAGAAAAUGUCUUUAUCACUCUGGCGUGUAGGUAAAUCUGUAGAAUAUCUUGGCUAAUGAGUGAUUUAGGAGGGUCCGGCCCACUGUGAGCCCCUGGGACUUCCUUUGAGCAAGCCAUGCAAGUCAAUAAGCAGUUCUCUUCUACAGUCUCUUCAGUUCCUGCCCGGACUUCUCUCAGUGAUGGGCUACAGCUGUAGGCUGUAAUAAAUCUCACCAGGCUGCUUUUGAUCAUAUCUUAUCACAGCAGGGGAAGCAAACCAGGAUGCAUGCCUAUAAUCUUAGCACCUGGGAGGCAGAAGCAGGAGAAGCACCUCAUUUAAAGCCAUACUCUCAAUAAUGAGACCAUAUGU